UCGUAAAACCGAGGUGCGAGGGCUGUCGCUGCCCUUUUGGUCGUGCACGCCCGAGCGCUCUCACACAAUCCAUCUCCCCCCUUUGUGCACCACCGCGUGGGUCCCUCUCUGGUUCGUCCCGAGGGGGGCUUGCGUUUUCACACAAACUUGAAGCAAUGUAGAAUGUCUCUUUUUUUUUUGCGAUAACAUGCAAUCAAUA
rnacentral:misc_RNA from 1 species